AUGACUCGUGUUCUACACAGAAAAAAUCCAUGUAGCAAGAGGCUAGAACUCACUCUGCAAUCUUUGGCAAGCCACACAGAACUCACAGAAGCAAUGAAAGGGAACCUCUGCCAUGAGUUCGAGACAGGCCUCCCCGCGGCCGAUGUAUGGGAGAUCUAUGGAGGCCUCCGUAUUGGCCAGUUGGUGCCUGAAUUGCUUCCAGAUAUGCUCAAAAAGGUCGAGCUUGUUGAUGGAGAUGGCGGCGUCGGAACAGUUUUGCAUCUCACCUACUCUCCUGGAAUUCCUGGAUUCGAAUAUCAAAAAGAGAAGUUCAUCAAGAUUGACAAUGAAAACUAUGUCAAAGAGGCACUAGUAGUAGAAGGAGGCGUUCUAGAUCAUGGAUUUCAGAAAUGUUUGGUACGGUUUGAGAUUAUAGGGCAAACAAAUGAGACAUCUGCAAUAAGAUCAACCAUUGAAUAUGAAAUUGAUGACGACAAGACAGAUAACGCAUCCUUCGUCAGUACCAGUGGUGUAGCUCAUAUUGCUGAGGCCAUCACAAACUAUAUCAAGGCACAGAAAAGCGCUGAGCAAGCUCGUGAAGAAACGUUGUAA
rnacentral:rRNA from 1 species